GCUGACGCAGCCAUGCCGCGUGAAUGAUGAAGGUCUUAGGAUUGUAAAAUUCUUUCACCGGGGACGAUAAUGACGGUACCCGGAGAAGAAGCCCCGGCUAACUUCGUGCCAGCAGCCGCGGUAAUACGAAGGGGGCUAGCGUUGCUCGGAAUUACUGGGCGUAAAGGGAGCGUAGGCGGACAUUUAAGUCAGGGGUGAAAUCCCGGGGCUCAACCUCGGAAUUGCCUUUGAUACUGGGUGUCUUGAGUGUGAGAGAGGUAUGUGGAACUCCGAGUGUAGAGGUGAAAUUCGUAGAUAUUCGGAAGAACACCAGUGGCGAAGGCGACAUACUGGCUCAUUACUGACGCUGAGGCUCGAAAGCGUGGGGAGCAAACAGGAUUAGAUACCCUGGUAGUCCACGCCGUAAACGAUGAUUGCUAGUUGUCGGGAUGCAUGCAUUUCGGUGACGCAGCUAACGCAUUAAGCAAUCCGCCUGGGGAGUACGGUCGCAAGAUUAAAACUCAAAU
rnacentral:rRNA from 1 species